AUACUUACCUGGCAGGGGAUAUACCAUGAUCAUGAAGGUGGUUUUCCCAAGGUGAGGCUUAUCCAUUGCACUUUGGAUGUGCUGACCCCUGCAAUUUCCCCAAACGUGGGAAACUAGACUGCAUAAUUUAUGGUAGUGGGGGACUGCGUUUGCACUCUCGUCUG
rfam:Erinaceus europaeus unplaced genomic scaffold scaffold00048, whole genome shotgun sequence